rnacentral:ncRNA from 1 species
UCAUCGCCGAAGAAGAGGGUUUUGACACGGAAAAUGGCGUUCAGAGAGCCGGUGAAGUGGUGCGAACCGGUCGCUUGUUCGUGCAAAUUACGCCCUCGGAGGUGCAAUGGCGUUAGUCGUUGCCGGGGGAUCCGUUAUAGCCAUUGAGUGGCCGCCAAGUGGCGGCAAGCAGGGUGGUACCGCGAGCGCAAGUAUCUCGUCCCGCAA